AUUGAACGCUGGCGGCAUGCUUUACACAUGCAAGUCGAACGGUAACAGGCCGCAAGGUGCUGACGAGUGGCGAACGGGUGAGUAAUGCAUCGGAACGUGCCCAGUCGUGGGGGAUAACGCAGCGAAAGCUGUGCUAAUACCGCAUACGAUCUAUGGAUGAAAGCGGGGGACCGUAAGGCCUCGCGCGAUUGGAGCGGCCGAUGUCAGAUUAGGUAGUUGGUGGGGUAAAGGCUCACCAAGCCAACGAUCUGUAGCUGGUCUGAGAGGACGACCAGCCAAACUGGGACUGGAACACGGCCCAGACUCCUACGGGAGGCAGCAGUGGGGAAUUUUGGACAGUGGGCGCAAGCCUGAUCCAGCAAUGCCGCGUGCAGGAAGAAGGCCUUCGGGUUGUAAACUGCUUUUGUACGGAACGAAAAGGUUUGGGUUAAUACCCUGGGCCGAUGACGGUACCGUAAGAAUAAGCACCGGCUAACUACGUGCCAGCCGCCGCCGUAAAAC
rnacentral:rRNA from 1 species